GAUGAACGCUAGCGGCAGGCUUAAUACAUGCAAGUCGAGGGGCAGCAGGGUGUAGCAAUACAUCGCUGGCGACCGGCAAACGGGUGCGGAACACGUACGCAAUCUUCCCAAAACUGAUGAAUAGCCCUCCGAAAGGAGGAUUAAUACAUCGUAACAUAAUGAAGUGGCAUCACUUUAUUAUUAUAGCUCCGGCGGUUUUGGAUGAGCGUGCGUCUGAUUAGGUGGUUGGCGGGGUAACGGCCCACCAAGCCUACGAUCAGUAACUGGUGUGAGAGCACGACCAGUCACACGGGCACUGAGACACGGGCCCGACUCCUACGGGAGGCAGCAGUAAGGAAUAUUGGUCAAUGGACGCAAGUCUGAACCAGCCAUGCCGCGUGGAGGAUGAAGGCCCUCUGGGUUGUAAACUUCUUUUAUCUGGGACGAAACCUGACCAUCCCUGGUCAGCUGACGGUACCAGAGGAAUAAGCACCGGCUAACUCCGUGCCAGCCGCCGCAGUAA
rnacentral:rRNA from 1 species